GGUUGAGAGCAUUAUAAUGCAGUCUGGUUUCGGCCCAGAAAGAGAAGAAAACUCUUCCUCAUACCA
rnacentral:tRNA from 1 species